UAUAUUUUAGUGUAAGAUGCACAUAAAUUUUUGAUAUUUAGGGGGGUAGUUUAAUUCUACUAUAUAUAA
rnacentral:tRNA from 1 species